UCCAAUUAGGCUGACUGGCGCCAUCUUAAUCAAGAGCCAGUGAUUGUGGAAAACAGCCCCUUUUGGUUGUGUAUAUACCUUGUUCUUUUUAUGGAAUUCCUUAAGGGACCUUGGAGAUACUU
ensembl:snoRNA SNORA70 Small nucleolar RNA SNORA70